rfam:Thermodesulfovibrio yellowstonii DSM 11347, complete genome.
AUCAAGGCUUUUCUUAAAGCCAUUUUAUUUACAUAAUGAAUCCACU